GAUGAAGAACGUAGCGAAAUGCGAUACUUGGUGUGAAUUGCAGAAUCCCGUGAACCAUCGAGUCUUUGAACGCAAGUUGCGCCCGAAGCCAUUAGGCCGAGGGCACGCCUGCCUGGGCGUCACACGUCGUUGCCCCCCCAUCUACUCCUUCGGGAUUGCGGGGGGCGGAUGAUGGCCUCCCGUGCGCCUCGCCGCGCGGUUGGCAUAAAUGCCAAGUCCUCGGCGACGCACGCCACGACAAUCGGUGGUUGCGAAACCUCGGUUGCCCGUCGUGUGCGGUCGUCGCGCAUCGAGGGCUCGAAAAAAUUGCCGGGUUCCGGCUCGGCUUUCAACGCGACCCCAGGUCAGGCGGGGUUCCCGCUGAAUUUAAGCAUAUCAAUAAGCGGAGGA
rnacentral:misc_RNA from 1 species